UACGAAGGGGGCAAGCGUUGUUCGGAAUUACUGGGCGUAAAGGGUUCGUAGGUGGCCAACUAAGUCAGACGUGAAAUCCCCCGGCUUAACCUGGGAACUGCGUCUGAUACUGGGAGGCUUGAGUAUGGGAGAGGGAUGUAGAAUUCCAGGUGUAGCGGUGAAAUGCGUAGAUAUCUGGAGGAAUACCGGUGGCGAAGGCGGCAUCCUGGACCAUUACUGACGCUGAGGCGCGAAAGCUAGGGGAGCAAACGGG
rnacentral:rRNA from 1 species